AGCGUAGGCGGACAUUUAAGUCAGGGGUGAAAUCCCGGGGCUCAACCUCGGAAUUGCCUUUGAUACUGGGUGUCUUGAGUAUGAGAGAGGUGUGUGGAACUCCGAGUGUAGAGGUGAAAUUCGUAGAUAUUCGGAAGAACACCAGUGGCGAAGGCGACACACUGGCUCAUUACUGACGCUGAGGUGCGAAAGCGUGGGGAGCAAACA
rnacentral:rRNA from 1 species